rnacentral:rRNA from 1 species
UACGUAGGGGGCAAGCGUUGUCCGGAAUUAUUGGGCGUAAAGAACGCGUAGGCGGUCCGAUAAGUCGGCUGUGAAAGUCAGGGGCUCAACCCUUGGAAGCCGGCCGAUACUGUCGGACUAGAGUCCGGAAGAGGCGAGUGGAAUUCCCGGUGUAGCGGUGAAAUGCGCAGAUAUCGGGAGGAACACCAAUGGCGAAGGCAGCUCGCUGGGACGGUACUGACGCUGAGGCGCGAAAGCGUGGGGAGCAAACAGG